UCGUGGAGAUGGAUCAUAGCAACGAAGUCGAUGCCAGCCAGAGUAAUAUUGGAGGCGAUUGCAAAUCCUGGGUCAUCGUCUCGUGUUAGCGUUGUUUUUUUCAAGUUCUCUUGUGUUUGUAGUUUACUACAUCUGUGAUUGUCGCGUUCUGUGGCAUCUGGUGGUUGGCAUGAAGGCAGUUUGGUCAAGAAUAAAGCUGAAUCUCUCCUGCUUUGCUGGCGAGCUUUUAGAAGCUUAUUUAAAGUUUCCAAUCACCAAGCUGGGUGCUUAAGACUACUAAUACAUUGAAACUUCUAUCCAAAUUAUUAUUAUUUUUUUUAUUCUCCACCCCGUCAGGGGCGGCGCCCCCUGACGUGAGUGGAGUGGCUCUCAAAUCCUGUUACAGUAGGUCUUCGGAUCCUACUGUACAGGAACUGAGAGCUUUUUUAUAACUUUCUGCAUUGCAUCUCGCGAGGUUAGCAAACUCCAUUAUAUUUUGCUAUCAAGGUUUUGGUUUGCAUUUGUUUUAUUUUUGUUUCGUAGCUAGGCUGUGUUCUUAAGUUAGUUUUUUAAUUCGUAAUUAUAUGCGGCGGCUUAAUUUGUUGGAAGCUUUUUUCUUAAGCAGUAUUGUAAGUUAUGUAAUGUGUAAUUAUAUGCUGCUACUUAAUUUACUUUUUGCUUCAUAAUAUAAGCUUCGAAAUGUUUCUCGAUAGGGGUCGAGUAUGACUUCUGUAAUGUAAAAUUUCCUCCUUUAAAUUAGUGUAUGCUACAAGUAAACUAUAUUUUAGACUGUUAGCUUACUUGUGUAACUGUUACAAGAACUGAAUAGUUGAAUUUUAACCUUCCGUGUAUAGACUACUGGAUAUUUCAAGGUAUUAAUGUGUAAUUUUUUGUUCUAAAGUCCACGAAUUGGUCAAUAUUCUUGUACAAAAUUUUGCAUUUGAACAUUUAAUUUUAGUCUUGACGUAUGAAUGGUCAGUUGUAUUAAAGUUCUUGGACAAAUUCUUAGCAAAAAGGUGUGCUUAAUUUGAAUUUAGUAUUUUUUGACAUGAAUGAACAGUUGUUGAAGUUCUUAGACAAAUUCUAGCAAAGAUGUUUGCUAUGUCGAAACCUCUCUAAUCUUAAAAUAUUUGCAGGAACUUUUACUGGUGCAGAGUUAAUCUUGGUUGACCAAGCCUGAGUGUUUAUACCUCUGAAGCAUUCGUUCAUCUUUGCUGGAUCCCAACCAUGUAGGUAUAGAAUGAAAUUUGCAGAUUAGAAUACAAUUGCGAAAUUUAAGUAAAUACAAUUGUGAAAUCUUGAUAAGAGUAAAAUCUUGGUCCAUGUCCUA